rnacentral:rRNA from 1 species
CCCAGAAUUAGUCAAUGCUCGAAAGAGUGAACUAGCUAACUGAAAUCAAUAAUGUGUCAUUAUUGAUAACGUAAGGUAAAAAUAAUGAUGGUCCCUUACUAUUAGUGUCGUCCAAAUACUCGUGCCAGAAGACUCGGUAAGGCGAGAGACGCAAACGUUAGUCGUCUUAAUCAGGCGUAAAGGGUUUGUAGGCGGCUUUAAGAAUUUUAUUUUUUUAAUUAAAAAAAAAAUCAAUUAAAGCUAGAAUCAAAAAGAGGUUAUAUUGAAUAAUGCUUUGAGUAGGGUUGGUAACUUGAGAUCCUAAGUAGAAUACUAACGGCGAAGGCUUUUUUCCAUUAAUGAUUGACGCUGAGAAACUAAGGUGAGGACAGAAAAAAGGAUUGGAGACCCUUAUAUCCCUCACAUUCAACGAUGAAUGGUAGUUACUAGAAGUUUUCUUUUAGAGACGAUGUUAACACGAAAACCAUUCCGCCUUGUGAGUACGACUGCAAAGUUGAAAACAAAAAAAUUAGUCGGUUUCGGAGCAAACGAAGUGGAGCAUGUUAUUUAUGAAA